rnacentral:rRNA from 1 species
UACGUAGGUGGCAAGCGUUGUCCGGAAUUAUUGGGCGUAAAGAGCUCGUAGGCGGUGUGUCGCGUCGGCCGUGAAAACCUGCAGCUUAACUGUGGGCGUGCGGUCGAUACGGGCAUCACUGGAGUUCGGCAGGGGAGACUGGAAUUCCUGGUGUAGCGGUGAAAUGCGCAGAUAUCAGGAGGAACACCGAUGGCGAAGGCAGCUCGCUGGGACGGUACUGACGCUGGAGGCGCGGAAAGCGUGGGGGAGCGAAACAGG